GCUGGUCUGAGAGGAUGGACAGCCACAUUGGAACUGAGACACGGUCCAAACUCCUACGGGAGGCAGCAGUGGGGAAUUUUCCGCAAUGGGCGAAAGCCUGACGGAGCGACGCUGCGUGAAGGAUGACGGCCUGCGGGUUGUAAACUUCUUUUCUCGAAGAAGAAUAAAUGACGGUAUUCGAGGAAUAAGCAUCGGCUAACUCUGUGCCAGCAGCCGCGGUAAGACAGAGGAUGCAAGUGUUAUUCGGAUUGAUUGGGCGUAAAGCGUCUGUAGGCGGUUUAGAAAGUCUUUUGUGAAAUUCUUCAGCUCAACUGGGGCUCCGCAAAAGAAACUUCUAGACUUGAGGGAAGUAGAGGUACAGGGAAUUUCCGGUGGAGCGGUGAAAUGCGUAGAUAUCGGAAGGAACACCAAUAUGGCGAAGGCACUGUACUGGGCUUUACCUGACGCUAAGAGACGAAAGCUAAAGGAGUGAUUAGGAUUAGAUACCCUAGUAAUUUUAGCCGUAAACGAUGGAAACUCACUGCCGAGCGGUAUACAACGAGCGGUGGUCAAGCUAACGCGUGAAGUUUCCCGCCUGGGGAUUACGCUUGCAAAAGUGAAACUCAAAGGAAUUGACGGGGACCCGCACAAGCGGUGGAGUAUGUGGUUUAAUUCGAUGCUACACGAAGAACCUUACCAGGGUUUGAAAUCAUUUCAAAACUCCUUGAAAGAGGAGCCUCCUUCGGGAUGGAAUGACAGGUGGUGCAUGGCUGUCGUCAGCUCGUGUUGUGAAAUGUCGAGUUAAGUCUCGUAACGAGCGCAACCCAUGUCUCUUGUUGCUCACUGAGUGCUUAAGAGAGACUGCCGACCAACAUCGGAGGAAGGUGUGGAUGAUGUCAAGUCAGCAUGCCCCUUAUAUCUUGGGCUACACACGUACUACAAUGGUAGGGACAAUG
rnacentral:rRNA from 1 species